ACGCGUGUAGCUCAACUGGCAGAGCACCGGCCUCCAAAUCCGACGCUUGAGGGUUCGACUCCUUACGCGCGUGCCA
rnacentral:tRNA from 2 species